rnacentral:rRNA from 1 species
GUCAUGGCUCAGGAUGAACGCUAGCUACAGGCUUAACACAUGCAAGUCGAGGGGCAGCAUGGUCUUAGCUUGCUAAGGCUGAUGGCGACCGGCGCACGGGUGAGUAACACGUAUCCAACCUGCCGUCUACUCUUGGCCAGCCUUCUGAAAGGAAGAUUAAUACCGGAUAGUAUCGAGAGAUUGCAUGAUUACCCGAUUAAAGAUUCAUCGGUAACGGAUGGGGAUGCG